GGUCGCUUAGCUCAGUUGGUUAGAGGUACAAUUUCCAGUCUUCGAGAUGUUCAGCACAUUAAACUAAUUCCUAAACAGCGUGGUGCUAAUAGCGUUGAAAACUGUUUACGCCAAGGUCGCGAGUUCGACCCUCGUAGUGACCA